GGUUAAGCGACUAAGCGUACACGGUGGAUGCCCUGGCAGUCAGAGGCGAUGAAGGGCGUGCUAAUCUGCGAUAAGCGCCGGUAAGGUGAUAUGAACCGUUAUAACCGGCGAUACCCGAAUGGGGAAACCCAGUGUGAUUCGUCACACUAUCAUUAACUGAAUCCAUAGGUUAAUGAGGCGAACCGGGGGAACUGAAACAUCUAAGUACCCCGAGGAAAAGAAAU
rnacentral:rRNA from 1 species